rnacentral:rRNA from 1 species
GCUAAACGCGAAGAACCUUACCUGGCCUUGACAUCCAUGGAAUCCCGAAGAGAUUCGGGAGUGCCGCAAGGAACCAUGAGACAGGUGCUGCAUGGCUGUCGUCAGCUCGUGUCGUGAGAUGUUGGGUUAAGUCCCGCAACGAGCGCAACCCUUGUCCUUAGUUGCCAUCAUUAAGUUGGGAACUCUAAGGAGACCGCCGGUGACAAACCGGAGGAAGGUGGGGAUGACGUCAAGUCAUCAUGGCCUUUAUGGCCAGGGCUACACACGUGCUACAAUGGCAGGUACAGAGGGAAGCCAACCGGCGACGGGGAGCUAAUCCCAGAAAGCCUGUCUUAGUCCGGAUUGCAGUCUGCAACCCGACUGCAUGAAGUCGGAAUCGCUAGUAAUCGCAGAUCAGCAUUGCUGCGG